rnacentral:rRNA from 1 species
GACGAACGCUGGCGGCGUGCCUAACACAUGCAAGUCGAACGGGGUCCAUGGGAGCUUGCUUCCGGAAGACCUAGUGGCGAACGGGUGAGUAACACGUGAGGAACUUGCCCCAGACUCGGGGAUAACUCAGGGAAACUUGAGCUAAUACCGGAUACCCUCCUUGGACCGCAUGGUCCGCUGAGGAAAGUUUUUCGGUCUGGGAGAGCCUCGCGGCCUAUCAGCUAGUCGGUGAGGUAACGGCUUACCAAGGCGACGACGGGUAGCUGGUUUGAGAGAACGAUCAGCCACACUGGGACUGAGACACGGCCCAGACUCCUACGGGAGGCAGCAGUGGGGAAUCUUGCGCAAUGGGCGAAAGCCUGACGCAGCAACGCCGCGUGCGGGAUGAAGGCCUUCGGGUUGUAAACCGCUUUCAGCAGGGACGAAGAUGACGGUACCUGCAGAAGAAGCCCCGGCUAACUACGUGCCAGCCGCCGCCGUAA